GAUGAACGCUGGCGGCGUGCCUAAUACAUGCAAGUCGAGCGAACGGACGAGACGCUUGCUUCUCUGAUGUAUCGGCGGACGGGAGAGUAACACGUGGACAACCUACCUAUACGACUGGGAUAACUUUGGGAAACCGGAGCUACUACCGAAUAAUAUAUUGAACUGCAUGGUUCAAAAGUGAAAUUCGGUCUUUCGGUCACUAAUAGAUGGAUACGCGCUGCAUUAGCUAGUUGUUAAGGUAACGGCUUACCAAGGCAACGAUGCAUACACGACCUGAGAGGGUGGUCCGCCACACUGUAUCUGAGACACGGUCCAGACUCCUACGGUAGGAAGCAGUAGGGAAUCUUCCGCGAUGGACGAAAGCCUGACGGAGGAACGCCGCGUGAGUGAUGAAGGUCUUCGGAUCGUAAAACUCUGUUAUUAGGGAAGUACAUAUGUGUAAGUAACUGUGAACAUCUUGACGGUACCUAAUCAGAAAGCCACGGCUAACUCCGUG
rnacentral:rRNA from 1 species